rnacentral:rRNA from 1 species
AUUGAACGCUGGCGGCAGGCCUAACACAUGCAAGUCGAGCGAGCGGCGGACGGGUGAGUAAUGUAUGGGGACUGCCCGAUAGAGGGGGAUAACUACUGGAAACGGUGGCUAAUACCGCAUACUAUCGGAUAACCCAUAUGGGAGUAGCUAGUAGGUAAGGUAAUGGCAUACCUAGGCGACGAUCCCUAGCUGGUCUGUGAGGAUGAUCAGCCACACUGGGACUGAGACACGGCCCAGAAUCCUACGGAGGCAGCAGUGGGGAAUAGUGCGCAAUGGGCGCAAGCCUGAUGCAGCCAUGCCGCGUGUAUGAAGAAGGCCCUAAGGUUGUAAAGUACUUUCGGUAGGGAGGCGUUACCGACAGAAGAAGCACCGGCUAACUCCGUGCCAGCAGCCGCGGUAAUUC